rnacentral:misc_RNA from 1 species
UGGCUCUCGCAUCGAUGAAGAACGCAGCGAAAUGCGAUAAGUAAUGUGAAUUGCAGAAUUCAGUGAAUCAUCGAAUCUUUGAACGCACCUUGCGCCCUUUGGCUAUUCCGAAGGGCAUGCCUGUUUGAGUAUCAUGAACACCUCAACUCUCAUGGCUUGCCAUGACGAGCUUGGACUUUGGGGGUCUUGCCGGCCUGCGGUCGGCUCCUCUCAAAUGAAUCAGCUUACCAGUGUUUGGUGGCAUCACAGGUGUGAUAACUAUCUACGCUUGUGGUUUUCCACCAGGUAACCUUCAGUGAUGGAGGUUUGCUGGGGCUCAUAAAUGUCUCUCCUCAGUGAGGACAGCUCUUUGAACAUUUGAUCUCAAAUCAGGUAGGACUACCCGCUGA